AUUGAACGCUGGCGGCAGGCCUAACACAUGCAAGUCGAACGCGUGGGGGACGUGUGAGUAAUGUCUGGGACACUGCCUUGUGGGGGGGGAUAUCUUGUGGAAACGGUCUCUUAUACCGUAACCCAUCGGAUGUGCCCAGAUGGGUUUAGCUAGUAGGUGGGGUAAAGGCUCACCUGGGCGACGAUCCCUAGCUGGUCUGAGAGGAUGACCAGCCACACUGGAACUGAGACACGGUCCAGACUCCUACGGGAGGCAGCAGUGGGGAAUAUUGCACAAGGGGCGCAAGCCUGAUGCAGCCAUGCCGCGUGUAUGAAGAAGGCCUUCGGGUUGUAAAGUACUUUCAGCGGGGAGGCGUUACCCGCAGAAGAAGCACCGGCUAACUCCGUGCCAGCCGCCGCGGUAAUUC
rnacentral:rRNA from 1 species